AACAAACGCUGGCGGCGUGCCUAAUACAUGCAAGUCGAACGGGGUAGCAAUACCUAGUGGCGCACGGGUGAGUAAUACAUGGGUAAUCUGCCUCAAAGUUGGGGAUAACCUUCCGAAAGGAAGGCUAAUACCGAAUAAGACCACAUGAUCUGCGGAUCAAGAGGUCAAAGGUUUUUCGCUUUGAGAUGAGCCCAUGCGGGAUUAGCUAGUUGGUGAGGUAAUGGCUCACCAAGGCCACGAUCCCUAGCUGGUCUGAGAGGAUAAUCAGCCACACUGGAACUGAGACACGGUCCAGACUCCUACGGGAGGCAGCAGUAGGGAAUAUUGCGCAAUGGGGGAAACCCUGACGCAGCGACGCCGCGUGAGUGAUGAAGGCCUUCGGGUCGUAAAGCUCUGUCGUAUGGGAAUAAUAAACUGAAUGUACAUACAAGAAAGGAUCGGCUAACUUCGUGCCAGCCGCCGCCGUAA
rnacentral:rRNA from 1 species